rnacentral:rRNA from 1 species
AUUGAACGCUGGCGGCAGGCCUAACACAUGCAAGUCGAGCGAGCGGCGGACGGGUGAGUACUGUCUGGGGACUGCCCGAUAGAGGGGGAUACCUACUGGAAACGGUGGCUAAUCCCGCAUACUAUCGGAUAACCCAUAUGGGAUUAGCUAGUAGGUGGGGUACAGGCUAACCUAGGCGACGAUGUCUAGCUGGUCUGAGAGGAUGAUCAGCAACACGGGGACUGAGACACGGCCCAGACGCCUACGGAGGCAGCAGUGGGGAAGAUUGCAAAAUGGGCGCAAGCAUGAUGCAGCCAUGCCGCGUGGAUGAAGAAGGCCGUAGUGUGGUAAAGGACUUUCAGCGGGGAGGCGUUACCCGCAGAAGAAGCACCGGCUAACUCCGUGCCAGCAGCCGCGGUAAUAC